UGGGGAAUAUUGGACAAUGGGCGCAAGCCUGAUCCAGCCAUGCCGCGUGAGUGAUGAAGGCCUUAGGGUUGUAAAGCUCUUUCGCCGGUGAAGAUAAUGACGGUAACCGGAGAAGAAGCCCCGGCUAACUUCGUGCCAGCAGCCGCGGUAAUACGAAGGGGGCUAGCGUUGCUCGGAAUCACUGGGCGUAAAGCGCACGUAGGCGGAUCGUUAAGUCAGGGGUGAAAUCCUGGAGCUCAACUCCAGAACUGCCCUUGAUACUGGCGAUCUCGAGUUCGAGAGAGGUUGGUGGAACUCCGAGUGUAGAGGUGAAAUUCGUAGAUAUUCGGAAGAACACCAGUGGCGAAGGCGGCCAACUGGCUCGAUACUGACGCUGAGGUGCGAAAGCGUGGGGAGCAAACGGGAUUAGAUACCCUGGUAGUCCACGCCGUAAACGAUGGAUGCUAGCCGUUGGGGGGUUUACCUCUCAGUGGCGCAGCUAACGCCUUAAGCAUCCCACCUGGGGAGUACGGUCGCAAGAUUAAAACUCAAAUGAAUUGACGGGGUCAUAGCUG
rnacentral:rRNA from 1 species